UACGGAGGGGGCUAGCGUUGCCCGGAAUCACUGGGCGUAAAGCGCACGUAGGCGGCUUCUAAAGUCAGGGGUGAAAUCUUGCGGCUCAACCGCAGAAUUGCCCUGGAUACUGGGUAGCUUGAGUCUGGGAGAGGUGGGUGGAAUUCCGGGUGUAGAGGUGAAAUGCGUAGAUAUUCGGAAGAACACCAGUGGCGAAGGCGGCCGGCUGGGUCGGUACUGACGCUGAGGCGCGAGAGCGUGGGGAGCAAACAGG
rnacentral:rRNA from 1 species